CACAGGAGGCGGCUGCUCGGACACCCGGCGUUCGCGGGGCCUGAGGCGCUCGGUGGCUGGAGCCUCGGCUGGGAGUGGAGCGGCCGCUUCCCGCCGGCGCAGGAUCAGGGCCUGGGCCCGCGCCCUCCACCCAGAGCUCGGGAAACUGUAACAACAGGCACGAACUCGGAAGCCGCGGUGCGGCGAGAGCCUGGGGCAAGAGUCGUCUCCAAGCAUUCACACCUCGUCUACACUAGGGCACCGCCUGGGCCUACGGCCUUCGCAACCCGAAGCGCCCGCCGCCCAGAGCCGGCAUCGGGCCUGGAAGGUCUUCCCCGCAAGCCCCAGAGCGCGGGCGCGGGGUUGGGGGAGGCGCCCACGGGGCGCCGGGGGCUGGGGAGGGAGGAGGGAAGGGCGCCGCAGGCCCGGGAGGCCAUUUUGAGAGCGCGAGGAGGGGCGGCAAGAUGGCUGCGUGGGCACCGGGAGGUCGCAACGCCGAGAGCCCGCCGAGCCCCUCUUCGCACUCGCCCAGCCGCGCGGCCCACGGAAGCGGAACGCGCGUCGAGCGUGCCAGGCCCAUCGGCGAUCUUGCUGCCGCUCGUCCCAGACAGACGCCCGGUAUUCAUGACCCCGAGGCCUAGAGGGGCGAAUGGCCGCCGCCCUCCUGCCCGCAGCCCACCGGACCCUCCGUCACGGCCGCCCUGUCCCCGGAGCUAUGCGCGUCGUGGCUGCUGGGGAGAAAGAGGCGUCCUGCGAGAGCCCUCCUCCCCUGGCAGGCGGAAACGGCCUCCCCGUCUUCCAAAAACGGCGGUAUUUUGGAGUCUGCAACCACGAGCGCUUCUAGCUCUUUCACUGUCUUCGAGGAGUGUUAGGUGUGUGGCUAACGCCCGCGUUUUCUUGAAACCGCGAGGCCCGACAUGGCAAGCGGGCCGAGGCCACCCUCCUAGGGCUGGGUGUGGUAGGAACGCAAGAGCAGCCACGGGCCGGGGAGCAGUGGGCCCUGCGAGGGGGCAGGAGUUGGCGAGGGCCUCCAUCGUCCGUGUGGUUGGGGCGGAGGACCGGCAUGGAGGCUCCAUUCACACAAUCCCAGGGCAGGCUGCGGGUGAGAUGCGGACGAAGCAGGCGGGGCAAUGA
rnacentral:lncRNA from 13 species